GACGCGUGGGGUCUGCCCAAUACUGCAAGUCGAGCGGACAGAUGGGAGCUUGCUCCCUGAUGUUAGCGGCGGACGGGUGAGUAACACGUGGGUAACCUGCCUGUAAGACUGGGAUAACUCCGGGAAACCGGGGCUAAUACCGGAUGGUUGUUUGAACCGCAUGGUUCAGACAUAAAAGGUGGCUUCGGCUACCACUUACAGAUGGACCCGCGGCGCAUUAGCUAGUUGGUGAGGUAACGGCUCACCAAGGCGACGAUGCGUAGCCGACCUGAGAGGGUGAUCGGCCACACUGGGACUGAGACACGGCCCAGACUCCUACGGGAGGCAGCAGUAGGGAAUCUUCCGCAAUGGACGAAAGUCUGACGGAGCAACGCCGCGUGAGUGAUGAAGGUUUUCGGAUCGUAAAGCUCUGUUGUUAGGGAAGAACAAGUGCCGUUCAAAUAGGGCGGCACCUUGACGGUACCUAACCAGAAAGCCACGGCUAACUACGUGCCAGCAGCCGCGGUAAUACGUAGGUGGCAAGCGUUGUCCGGAAUUAUUGGGCGUAAAGGGCUCGCAGGCGGUUUCUUAAGUCUGAUGUGAAAGCCCCCGGCUCAACCGGGGAGGGUCAUUGGAAACUGGGGAACUUGAGUGCAGAAGAGGAGAGUGGAAUUCCACGUGUAGCGGUGAAAUGCGUAGAGAUGUGGAGGAACACCAGUGGCGAAGGCGACUCUCUGGUCUGUAACUGACGCUGAGGAGCGAAAGCGUGGGGAGCGAACAGGAUUAGAUACCCUGGUAGUCCACGCCGUAAACGAUGAGUGCUAAGUGUUAGGGGGUUUCCGCCCCUUAGUGCUGCAGCUAACGCAUUAAGCACUCCGCCUGGGGGAGUACGGUCGCAAGACUGAAACUCAAAGGAAUUGACGGGGGCCCGCACAAGCGGUGGAGCAUGUGGUUUAAUUCGAAGCAACGCGAAGAACCUUACCAGGUCUUGACAUCCUCUGACAUCCUAGAGAUAGGACGUCCCCUUCGGGGGCAGAGUGACAGU
rnacentral:rRNA from 1 species